rnacentral:tRNA from 1 species
AAAGGUGUGAUGAAAUUGGUAAACAUGUUAGUCUUAGAAACUAUUUUUUAGGGGUUCAAGUCCCCUCACCUAUA